CUGCCACAGCAUCCCCGGGAGGUGCUUCUCCCCAUUGGCCAGAGAGUGAUGCCCGUGUCCUCACCCACAACCCCCCGGCCCAGUCACCCUCAGGGCCCCUCUUUCCUGACCCUUCCAGAGCGUUCUCUGGGAUGUGGGGUGAGGCCUAGGGGGUGCCCCCUCCCCUGGGCGAGGUCCUGGCUUCCACAUGACCUCCCCACCCCCCAGGGCCCAUUGCCCACAUGGACCUCUGUGACCCUCAAGGCGGAAGAGUGAAGCAGGGUACCCCUGGGGCACCCAGGACCUGGCCGAGCCCGGAGGCUGAGGCAGGGUGAGAAGUUGGCACAGCUGAGGUCAAAGUGUUGCAGGAAGGAAUUCAAGAGCGAGCCGUGGUAGAGAAAGAAGGUUUAUUCAGGGAGAAACACACUCCAUAGACGGAAGAAAGCACCUGCAGCUGUGUGAGCUCCAGACGCCGUGAGACACGGAACAGCCACCUUCUUCCCCAGUCCUGAGUAACGUCAUGUGAAGGGCACCCCAGUGGCCUGCCUCGCUCUGGGGAUGGCUCCCCGAUGGCUCUGUUACCAAGGUCCGGUGGAACUCGCCGCUCAGGAGAAGGCGAGUUAAAAUCGGCGACGCCUUGGGCGGCUGGAGUGACACAGUCAGGACGAGCCUGGCUGCGGACUAGGGGGCUGACCCGGCCGGGGCCUCUUGUCCGCACCCCGAGCUGGUCCUGAGCCAUCCCCCGACCCUGUGCCUCUGUCCAGGGCGCGUCCCGAGCCGGCGGCCUCACUGCAGGCCGACCCUCCCUCUACCCACCGGACACGUGGCCAAGGCCUGUGCCGAGGAGCCCCUGCCGUCAGCAAACCCGGGGGAGCUGUGGCCGCGCUGUGGCCCUGCCGGCUGCACCUGAAGAAGGUGCCGGGGGCAUCCCGGGCCCUCCCGCCCCACGGCCUGCACCUCCUGGGACCCCAGGGCUGGGCUGUUCUCGGAGCCACCCCUCCUGCCGCCCGACCCCGGGCCAGGACGCCGACCACACCGUGAAAGCUGCUCUCCGAACAGAACAGAACAGAGCAGCCGCCUGCCUCCCUCCAGGAUGAGCCCUUUAAAGCUGGGGCGGUGGCCGUCACCGCCCUCCUGGGGCCCCUCUCACCAGCUCAUCUGGUUCUCAUCUCUGCUCCAGAACCUGAAACCUGCACGGAAGGAGCGUCAUCUCCCGCCCACAGACACCCCUCAUCAGUGGCGUCCGGGAGCUGGUUUGUGCCACCAGGCACUCUCAGCAGCUUUUCUCUGGGGGAAGCUCCUUGAGAUGCAGCAGCGUCCGGUCCGCAAGCGGGCCGCCCUGCGUGGCCGGGGUGAUGGCCCCACGCGUCACCUCACAGGUCAGAGGGGACAAAUCUCGGCCCUCGGGCAAAAGCCGGGGAGUCCCCGCUUCUUACCGCUGACGCGUCCCCGAGGGCCAGCCGCCGAGGACAGGGGGAGGCCUGUUGAUUCCUUCACUGGCUGUUCCAGCGUCUUGCCGGCCCUCCUGAGAGCCUCCAUAAGGUCUGUUGAAUAAACGGUUUAGAAAACAAAUGAGUCCGGGGUGAAGAAAGAGCCUGUGAUGGUAGCAUAGCAUUGAGAAUGCACUGAAUGCCACUGAACCAUACACUUGAAAAUGGUUAAAAUGGUGAAUUUUAUUUUAUGUUUAUUUUACCACGUUAAAAAAAACCCCCACAAGUGAAUGAGUGGCUAAUUGUGCAAAGUGUAACCUUAAAGUUAAAAAAAUUGGAGAUUAUU